GGACGAUUAGCUCAGUUGGUUAGAGCGUCACAUUGACGUUGUGAAGGUCACUGGUUCGAACCCAGUAUCGUCCACCA
rnacentral:tRNA from 4 species